rnacentral:misc_RNA from 1 species
AAGUCGUAACAAGGUUUCCGUAGGUGAACCUGCGGAAGGAUCAUUAUGAAUUAUAAAUAUUUGUGAAUUUACCACAGCAAACAUCAAUCAUACAAUCAAUAAUUAAAAAUUAAGA